rnacentral:lncRNA from 1 species
UUCACGUAUCGAUCUAUAUAUAUCAUCUCAUAUCCUUCUUCGACACCACAACACAUCAUCUCUUCGAUACCCUUACACCCUCACCACAUCAUUCGCACGUUGCCGAGAAAACGGAAGUCGCCGGAUUACAUCGGAGUUCAAGUCGGAGACGCCGUAACACCCUCCGAACCCCCAUUGCAUCUCGCCAGAGUUUUAGAGGUUUCACCGGAGCCGCUCGGAGUUCACGAAGGGAACCUUUCGACUCGUUACAUGUUCGGAUAACUAUCCUUGUUCGUACUCUUGGAAUCUCGACUUUCUACUCGUGCGUUAUUACAAGAAAUCGCAACGCAAUCAAUGUUGAUAGACAAGAUGAUGAAGAAGCAAGUUAGG